rnacentral:rRNA from 1 species
UGUAGAAAACUACAGCUUUAUGUAAAAAAAAGAGGGGAACUGAAACAUCUUAGUACCCUUAUUAAAAAUCAACCGAGAAUUCGUAAAUAGUGGUGAAUGAAAGCGAUCUAGGUUAAUAAUGAUAUACUUUUUUUAAUAAGAGACCAAAGAAGGUUCAAAGUCCUGUAAAUUUGAGAAUAGCUUUUUUUUAUUGUUGCAAUUCUCUUUUCUUGUAAUAAGUUUGGAGUACCAUCUUCAAAACCUAAUAACACCUAACAAUCGAUAGUGCAAAGUACUGUAAAGGAAAAGUGAAAAAAGAGCUUUAGCUUCUCAGUGAAAAGAUCCUGAAACUUAAUGUUUUUUUGCAAUUGACGCUUUUAAGCAACGGUGUACCUUUUGUAUAAUGAACCAACGACUUUUUAUAUACGGCGAGUUUAAAUCCAUAGGUGUUAGGCGUAGUGAAAACAAAAACAUAAAAAAAAGUCGUCUAUAAAAGACUCGAAACUAAGUGAUCUAACCAAAAACAGGUUGAAAAUCAAAUCAUAAUAUUUAUUGGAGGACCGAACUCGUGUAUGUUGCAAAAUACUGAGACGAUUUUUGGUUAGGGGUGAAAGGCUAAUCAAACUUAGCGAUAGCUAGUUUUCUGCGAAAUCUAUUUUAGUAGAGUUUUUAUUACAAAAUUUGAGGUAGAGCUCUUUUUUAGUGAUGGGGAAUUUACUUACUGAUCUUCCUAAAACUACGAAUGCAAAUUUUUUGUCUUAAAAAAUCAGACUUUAGGCGAUAAGGUUUAAUGUCUAAAGGGAAACAGCCCAGCUUGACCGCUAAGGACCUAAAAAAUAUAAAAGUUAAAAGGAGUUUUUUACCCCAAAAGGUCGUAAGGUAAACUUAGAAGCAGUUAUCCUAUAGUGAAAGCGUAGUAGCUCAUCGGCCGAGGUAUUUAGCACUGAAAAUGUAAUGGGUUUAAAAAUAUUUUCCGAAGCGGCAAAAUAUUCGAUCUCAGUCUAAACUCAGAUCAAAUAUUGGUAGUAGAAUCUUCUGUUAUAUAAAAAAGUUCUUUUGUCAAAAAGGAUGCAAGUUAUCAGAAGUAAAGAUGUUGGUAUGAGUAAUAUUAAAGAAUUGUGUAAACAUUCUCGCCAAAAACUUAAGGUUUUCGAUAUAAUAUUAUUUUUUGUCGAGUGUGGUAAAUCGAUCCCUAAGAGAAAAGUGAAAACCGAACUUAAUGGGAAAAAAUAUGUGUUAUUAGAAAUACGUGACAAAAAUAGAUUUUUAAUUAAAAUAAAAAUUUAAUUAUUGUUUUUUUUUCAAGAAAUAGCUGUUUUGUAAAAAUCGUACCCCAAACUAACACAAGUAGGUUGGUUGAAGAAACUAAGGCGUUGAGAAAAUUAUGUAAAAGGAACUCGGCAAAUUUCUUCUGUAUCUUCGGUAGAAAGAAGGACUAUUGCGCAAAAAAGCGUUUUAGUUGUCACAAAAUUAGAAAAAGCGACUGGUUAAUAAAACCACAAGUCAUAGCAAAUUCGUAAGAAAAAGUAUUGUGGCUGACACCUGUCCGGUGCUGAAAUGUUAAGAAAAACAUGUCUAGGCUUUUUUUUUAAGCAUCAGUAAACGACAGCUGUAACUCUGACAGUUCAAAGGUAGCAAAAUUCUUU